GCCCUUUUGAAGAUGGUGGGAAGAUAAAGUGAAUUAUCACAAGGAAUAAAGCCAGGUCCUUAUCAUUUGAAGAUAGGCUUCAAAAACUGCAGAUAUAUUUAUGUAUGUUCAUAUAUAUAUAUACGCACACACUCUGUGGUAGAUGUGAAAAAACUUGGAUUCACUUUGCUUUCUUUUGAUUAUGGGUUGCCUCCUCCUGUAUUGGUUGUGUGUUUUGUGUAGUCUAAUUGCAGUCAAGACUUUCAAUUUGGUCCUUCUCUAACUGUUAUUGGUUCUUUAAACGACAAUAAUUAAAUUUUAAUUUUAAAUUAUUUUUUUAUCUGCAAUUUCAAAUUAAUUGAAUUUAAUUAUAUGAGUUUUUUUCAAGGCAUUAGAUUCGCAUUAA
rnacentral:misc_RNA from 1 species